rnacentral:rRNA from 1 species
UGAUGACGAGACGCUAAGGCGUUGAAGCAGUGUAUGUCAGACUUCCAAGAAAAGCUUGCACUGUCAUAGAUAAAACCUGCCUGUACCAUAACCGACACAGGUGGGUAGGUAGAGUAUACUAAGGGGCGCGAGAUAACUCUCUCUAAGGAACUCGGCAAAAUGACUCCGUAACUUCGGGAGAAGGAGUGCCUUAUUUAUAAGGUUGCAAUAACAAGAUCCAAGCAACUGUUUAUCAAAAACACAGGUCUCCGCUAAGUCGUAAGACGAUGUAUGGGGGCUGACGCCUGCCCAGUGCCAGAAGGUUAAAGAAGUUGGUUAGUGUAUGCGAAGCUGAUGACUGAAGCCCUGGUGAACGGCGGCCGUAACUAUAACGGUCCUAAGGUAGCGAAAUUCCUUGUCGGGUAAGUUCCGACCCGCACGAAAGGCGUAAUGAUUUGGAUACUGUCUCGGAGAGAGGCUCGGUGAAAUAGACUUGUCUGUGAAGAUGCGGACUACCUGCACCAGGACAGAAAGACCCUAUGAAGCUUUACUGUAACUUGAAAUUGGAAUUGGACUUUGCUUGCGCAGUAUAGGUGGGAAGCGUUGAAGAUAUUCUUGCGGGAGUAUUGGAGCUAUCAGUGAGAUACCACUCUUGUAAUGUUAGAUUUCUAACUUUGAACCAUAAUCUGGUCAAAGAACAGUUUCAGGUGGGCAGUUUGACUGGGGCGGUCGCCUCCCAAAUGGUAACGGAGGCGUACAAAGGUUUCCUCUGAACGGAUAGAAAUCGUAUCUAGAGUGUAAAGGCAUAAGGAAGCUUGACUGUGAGACCUACAAGUCGAGCAGGGACGAAAGUCGGUCUUAGUGAUCUGACGGUACUGAGUGGAAAGGCCGUCACUCAACGGAUAAAAGUUACUCUAAGGAUAACAUGCUGAUCUCCCCCAAGAGUUCACAUCGACGGGGAGGUUUGGCACCUCGAUGUCGGCUCAUCGCAUCCUGGGGCGGUAGUACGUCCCAAGGGUUGGGCUGUUCGCCCAUGAAAGCGGUACGCGAGCUGGGUUCAGAACGUCGUGAGACAGUUCGGUCCAUAUCCGGUGUAGGCGCUAGAAUAUUGAGAGGAGCCUUCUUUAGUACGAGAGGACCGAGAAGGACACACCGCUGGUGUACCAGUUAUCGUGCCAACGGUAAACGCUGGGUAGCUAUGUGUGGAGUGGAUAACCGCUGAAAGCAUCUAAGUGGGAAGCCCACCUCAAGAUGAG